GUCGAGGGGUAGGAGCAGCUUGCUGCUUUGAGACCGGCGCACGGGUGCGUAACGCCUAUACCAUCUACCUUUUACAGAGGGAUAGCCCAGAGAAAUUUGGAUUAAUACCUCAUAGUAUUUUCCAAUCCCAUGAUUUGAUCAUUAAAGUUCCCACGGUAAAAGAUGAGUAUGCGUCCCAUUAGCUAGAUGGUAAGGUAACGGCUUACCAUGGCAACCAUGGGUAGGGGUCCUGAGAGGGAGAUCCCCCCCACUGGUACUGAGACACGGACCAGACUCCUACGGGAGGCAGCAGUGAGGAAUAUUGGACAAUGGGCGCCAGCCUGAUCCAGCCCUGCCGCGUGCAGGAAGACGGUCCUAUGGAUUGUAAACUGCUUUUAUACAGGAAGAAACACACCCUCCUGAGGGUACUUGACGGUACUGUAUGAAUAAGCAUCGGCUAACUCCGUGCCCGCAGCCCCGGUAAUACGGAGGAUGCAAGCGUUAUCCGGAAUCAUUGGGUUUAAAGGGUCCGUAGGCGGCCCAAUAAGUCAGUGGUGAAAGCCCAUCGCUCAACGAUGGAACGGCCAUUGAUACUGUUUGGCUUGAAUUAUUAGGAAGUAACUAGAAUAUGUAGUGUAGCGGUGAAAUGCUUAGAGAUUACAUGGAAUACCCAUUGCGAAGGCAGGUUACUACUAAUAUAUUGACGCUGAUGGACGAAAGCGUGGGGAGCGAACAGGAUUAGAUACCCUGGUAGUCCACGCCGUAAACGAUGGAUACUAGCUGUUCGGAGCAAUCUGAGUGGCUAAGCGAAAGUGAUAAGUAUCC
rnacentral:rRNA from 1 species